UGCCCCAUGGCUGAGUUGGUUACAGCGUCCGACUGUUAUUCACCGCUUGCGGUCUGACAUCGGAAGGUCGUGAGUUCGAGCCUCACUGGGGCAG